rnacentral:lncRNA from 1 species
GUUUCCCUGGGAGCGGGGCGUGCGCUGUUGCGGGGAUGCGUGAGUCCCCAGAACCAAGUCAGAGCCCAGAGUCAUUGCGAGGGCCUUCCUGACCUGAAGUACUGAAUAUCGCAAGACUCCGUUAAAAUAAAAAUUCAGACAGCCCUAGGAUGGAUUCCGUGUGAGGCGGGAGGCCCCAAUAAGACUGAGUUGACCACUUGGGUAACGCCGGGGUAAGAAGGAAGAGCAGACUAGUGCCAGAGGUAACUUCACUUUUUUGAGUCCGAUUUUCUUCAUGAUCAUUCCUGUCAGCAUAUAAAUGUUAUUUGUGUUCCCAAGAGACCCUUUUCAUGACUCCAUCCCCACCCAUCUCUCUCUUCCUGAAUGUCCUUGAAAGUGCACUCCCUGUCCAGUUCUCCCUUCCCACUGUGUUGACCCUCUCCUGGCACACUUUCAGCCUGUUCCCAAUCCUGGUCUUGCCUGCUCUAUUAGCGACAUUUAAUACGGUUUCUUAUCCUCUCCUCCAUUAAACUUUUCUUCACUUCGUUUUUGGAGUUGCACGCUCUGGAUUUCUUCUUCCACCUCUGGCCCCUGCUUCUCUGUCUAAUGUACUGCUCUCUUUCCCCUGACCUCUAAAUGUAGCAAUGCCCCCAGCACUGGCUUCUUGGACUUUUCUUUCUUUUCACUUAAUCUCCUGAUAAUCUCAUCCUGCUUUGUGGCUCUAAAGACAAUAUCUAUAUGCUGAUGGUUCCCAUCUGUCUACCUCCAGCUUGGAAUGCUUCCUCUGAGAGUGGUUCUUCCAUGUUUCCAGCUUCUCAGCUUCCAAACUUUGACUGCUCCUUGGUCCCAUAUCCAGUCUGUCAGCAAAUCCUAUUGGCUUUUUCUGAAAAGCUGUCCAGAGGUUGAGGGUAGCUCAGCAGUAGAGUGUUUUCCUAGCAUGCAUGAGACCCUGGGUUGGAUCACCAGCACUGCCAGCCUCACCUGACAGCAUCUUAGAACAAGCCCACAUCAUCUCUCACCCAGGUGAUUGUAAUUGCCUCCUAACUGGUUUCCCUGCUUCUACACUUGACCCUCUCCCCCUGUCACAAAAGGUGCAACUUAGGCAGUCGAGGGGGAGAAAUAAAAAGAAUGUCCAUGUGCUUCUGCC